GCCAGCUAGCUCAGUUGGUAGAGCAUGAGACUCCUAAUCUCAGGGUUGUGGGUUCGAGCCCCACAUUGGAUGCCA